CACCGGGGAUGAACAACUUUUGUCACGUGACCGCAAUAGUCAACGCCGGUUGCAGAAACAGAUUGUAAUCUUGUACAUUAAGAAACAUGACGCUCGUGUGUGAAAUCUGUGGAAAGACAUUUAAAUCGAAGUGGGGGUUAAAGCUUCAUGAUAAGCGCCACAGAGGGACUGGACGAUUCGCCUGUUGUGGAAAAACAUUUUACACAAAACAGGCGUUCAACAGACACAGAUGCAGCAUUCAUGGUGUUGAAAAGCCGUUCCCCUGUGAACAAUGCGGCAAAAAGUUUUCAACCAAAGAUGACCUGAAUCGUCACGUCCGGAGGGAGGUUGCUGCAAAGCAAUUUACCUGCUCAAUUUGCAAUGCAACGCUCCGGGAGAAAAUUGACCUUCAGGCCCACCUUGCCACCCACAAUGGAGAGAAAAACUUUGCUUGUGAUAUGUGUGAAAAGAGGUACAGGCACCGCAGUAGUCUAUCAAAGAACAGAUCUGCAAAGCACCGGGCCUAGUCAUCUGUUGCAUGACGAUGAUAAGACCAAGAAUUAUUUUUAAUUCUUACCAAUGUGCCGUGGUUAUUUUCUUAAUUAUUGAAAAUACAGACUGUCAUACAAUAAUAAAUAGUAUUACGCGUGUUUUUGCGUCUUAAACAUUGUGUUUCAUAUCGUUUAUCUUGUGUUGUUUUGUUUGAUAUUCCUGUUUUUAAUAAGAUUAUUGUUGUAAUAUUUAUCAUUCUAAUUUAAAAUGAUUAUGAUAAUGGUUGAUCUCAUACAAAUUAUUGUGUUCAUUAUUGCUCAUCUGUGAUUACUGUUGAUCUCAGCCCAUGAAUUGUGAUUUAUAUUGAUUAUCUGUGAUUAUUGUUGAUCUUAUCAAAAUAAUUGUAAUUUAUGUUGAUUAUCUGUGAAUUUUUUAUCUUAACCUAUUAAUAGUGAUUUAUAUUAUCUGUGAUUAUUGUUGAUCUUAUCAAAAUCAUUGUGAUUUAUGUUGAUUAUCUGUGAUUAUUGUUGAUCUCAACCGAUUAAUUGUGAUUUAUAUAACCAGUGAUUAUUGUUGAUCUUUUCAAAAUCAUUGUAAUUUAUGUUGAUUAUCUGUGAUUAUUGUUGAUCUUUUCAAAAUCAUUGUAAUCUAUGUUGAUUAUCUGUGAUUAUUGUUGAUCUUUUCAAAAUCAUUGUAAUUAAUGUUGAUUAUCUGUGAUUAUUGUUGAUCUUUUCAAAAUCAUUGUAAUUUAUGUUGAUUAUCUGUGAUUAUUGUUGAUCUCACCAUAUCCGCUGGAAUAUACAUUUGAGCCGCGCUCUGUGAAAAGGGGGUUUAAUGCAUGUGCGUAAAGUGCAGUCCACAUAGGCUAAUCAGGGACGGCACUUUCCGCUUUUAUGAUAUGUUUUGUUAAAAGAAAGUCUCUUCUGAGCAAAAGUCGAGUUUAUCGGAAAGGUUUGUCCCUAAUUAGCCUGUACGGAAUGCACAGGCUAAUAUGUGACGACACCUUACGCACAUGCAUUAAACCCCCUUUUCACAGAGCGAGACUCAUUUGUAAUCUGCGAUUUUUGUUUAUCUAUUUCGAAUCAAUAUGAUUAAAAUAUAUUUUUGGUGA